UUGAUGGAGAGUUUGAUCCUGGCUCAGGACGAACGCUGGCGGCGUGCCUAACACAUGCAAGUCGAACGAGAUCCAAGGGAGCUUGCUCCCUGAAGAUCUAGUGGCGAACGGGUGAGUAACACGUGAGAAACCUGCCCUCGAGUGGGGAAUAACCCGGGGAAACUCGGGCUAAUACCGCAUACGCUCCUCUGGCCGCAUGGUCGGAGGAGGAAAGUUUUUCGCUCUUGGAGGGUCUCGCGGCCUAUCAGCUAGUUGGCGGGGUAACGGCCCACCAAGGCUACGACGGGUAGCUGGUUUGAGAGAACGAUCAGCCACACUGGGACUGAGACACGGCCCAGACUCCUACGGGAGGCAGCAGUGGGGAAUCUUGCGCAAUGGGCGAAAGCCUGACGCAGCAACGCCGCGUGCAGGAUGACAGCCUUCAUGGUUGUAAACUGCUUUCGGCAGGGAAGAAAAUGACGGUACCUGCAGAAGAAGCUCCGGCUAACUACGUGCCAGCAGCCGCGGUAACACGUAGGGGGCGAGCGUUGUCCGGAUUCAUUGGGCGUAAAGAGCUCGUAGGUGGUUCAGUAAGUCGGGUGUGAAAGCUCCGAGCUCAACUCGGAGAGGCCACCCGAUACUGCUGUGACUCGAGUCCGGUAGAGGAGCGUGGAACUCCUGGUGUAGCGGUGAAAUGCGCAGAUAUCAGGAAGAACACCCGUAGCGAAGGCGGCGCUCUGGGCCGGUACUGACGCUGAGGAGCGAAAGCGUGGGUAGCAAACAGGAUUAGAUACCCUGGUAGUCCACGCCGUAAACGUUGGGCACUAGGUGUGGGGAGGAGUCAACCCUUUCCGUGCCGUAGCUAACGCAUUAAGUGCCCCGCCUGGGGAGUACGGCCGCAAGGCUAAAACUCAAAGGAAUUGACGGGGGCCCGCACAAGCGGCGGAGCAUGUUGCUUAAUUCGAGGCAACGCGAAGAACCUUACCUAGGUUGAACUACGCAGGAAAAGCCACAGAGAUGUGGUGUCCUUCGGGGCCUGCGAUAGGUGGUGCAUGGCUGUCGUCAGCUCGUGUCGUGAGAUGUUGGGUUAAGUCCCGCAACGAGCGCAACCCUUAUUCUAUGUUGCCAGCGGGUAAUGCCGGGGACUCGUAGAAGACUGCCGGGGUCAACUCGGAGGAAGGUGGGGACGAGGUCAAGUCAUCAUGCCCCUUAUGUCUAGGGCUGCAAACAUGCUACAAUGGCCGGUACAGAGGGCUGCGAUACCGCGAGGUGGAGCGAAUCCCAAAAAGCCGGUCUCAGUUCGGAUUGAAGUCUGCAACUCGACUUCAUGAAGCUGGAGUCGCUAGUAAUCCCGGAUCAGCAACGCCGGGGUGAAUACGUUCCCGGGCCUUGUACACACCGCCCGUCACACCACGAAAGUUGGCAACACCCGAAGUCAGUGGCCGAACCCUAUGGGACGGAGCUGCCGAAGGUGGGGUUAGCGAUUGGGGUGAAGUCGUAACAAGGUAGCCGUACCGGAAGGUGCGGCUGGAUCACCUCCUUUCUAAGGAG
rnacentral:rRNA from 1 species